GUCUAGACUGUGUAGACCGGCAUGGUUGCCUGUCUCCUCACAUCGUCAAAGUGUCCAGAUACGAAGUGCCUCAUCCACUUCAAUCCUGUGUCCUGGGAGUCAGCGGGGUCUUUGCUUACUGCCACAAGAAGAAAACUCUUCAGCGAUUUCAGCUCCCUCAGGUUUACUGCUGCUAAUGUUUCUGAUACUUGUAAACAUAAUUCUCUGUCUUCAUUCACCUGAAAUAUCAUUGAUGCAUUUAAUCUGGGUGUUAACACACAUUAAAUCAUUAUCCUUUUCUAUGUACAGGACACAGACUCCAGUCAGCUGGUGGUCCACCUGAGACCAGAGCAGGAAGUGCGGGGUCAUCCUCUGGGCCCUGCCUCUCUUGUUCUGUCUCCUCACCAGUUAUGGCUCACUUCUGUGGGUCGAGAUGGCCUGCUACGCAUCCGAGAAACUGCUUCCAUGGAGCGGUAUAUUGAGCUGCAGUGUCAUUCAUGCCGUGAUGGUGGAGUUCGGAGUGUGUCCUUCUCUGCAGACAGCCAGACGCUCCUCACAACUGGCUUUAACGAUGGGUCCCUUGUGUGUGCCAAUCUCAGGAUUAAAGGUGUGGAUGCUGGUAAAGUGAAUAAAGCCACCCAGUACAGCCAGUCUAUGGAUAAUCUGUUGAACAACAUAUUCGAUACAGAGAAUUCUGUCCUUAUUGACUGGCCUGAGUGGGGCCAAGGGUCUCCAGCUGCAACUGAAAAAUCAGAGGGAAGUGAGGUCGGUGUUGAAGCAGCGUCUGUGGAUGUGACGGAGCAGGAUGAGAGUUAUAACAGCCUACUGUCUGCUCCACCUUCACACCCCACCUGGCUGGAAAGCAGGCGAGAGGCGGUUAGUGACUAAGAUACCAUGAUAUUUGCGGUGGUGGCAUAAUGUUAACAAUGUUAACUAUGUUUAGAUACCUCUGUCAUGUCUCUACGCCGUUGCAGGUGGAGGGUUACGACAGUACCCUUUGCACCUGUGUGUGAUAUCUUGCUGUGUUUUUGUUGGCACUCAGUUUCUCUGAGCAGCAGCUUGAUUUAUCGUCAUGUAGUGAGUGAGGAAAAACAACCAAUUAGCAAGCAGCAAAGAAAUAUGAAGAUGAUAAGCAUUUGUAAAAAGAAAAAAAAAAAGAAAGUACUUUGUUACCUGACAAAGCUUCUUGAUAACAAUUCUUUGAUACUGAAGGUGUGGCAGUCUUUGAAUAAUGGGUUC
rnacentral:lncRNA from 1 species